rnacentral:misc_RNA from 1 species
UUUCCGUAGGUGAACCUGCGGAAGGAUCAUCAAAGAGUAAGGGUCUUCGGGCCCGACCUCCAACCCUUUGUUUAACUACCAUGUUGCUUUGGCGGGCCCGUCUCACGACCGCCGGAAGUUUGGCUUCGACCAAACUUCUGGCCCGUGCCCGUCAGUGGCCCCUUCAAAUUCUUGAUCAAGUAUGAUGUCUUAGUUAAAAACUUAAUAGUUAAAACUUUCAACAACGGAUCUCUUGGUUCUG